rnacentral:rRNA from 1 species
AGGCCUACGGGAGGCAGCAGUGAGGAAUAUUGGUCAAUGGCCGAGAGGCUGAACCAGCCAAGUCGCGUGAGGGAUGACGGCCCUACGGGUUGUAAACCUCUUUUGUCGGGGAGCAAGACCCGCCUCGUGCAGGCGGAGCGAGAGUACCCGAAGAAAAAGCAUCGGCUAACUCCGUGCCAGCAGCCGCGGUAAUACGGAGGAUGCGAGCGUUAUCCGGAUUUAUUGGGUUUAAAGGGAGCGUAGGUGGAUUGUUAAGUCAGUUGUGAAAGUUUGCGGCUCAACCGUAAAAUUGCAGUUGAAACUGG